rnacentral:rRNA from 1 species
UACGGAGGGGGCUAGCGUUAUUCGGAAUUAUUGGGCGUAAAGGGCGUGUAGGCGGCUUCGUGUGUCCCAUGUGAAAGCCCUCGGCUUAACCGAGGAACUGCAUGGGAAACUGCGGAGCUUGAGUCCGGGAGAGGAGAGCGGAAUUCCCAGUGUAGCGGUGAAAUGCGUAGAUAUUGGGAGGAACACCAGUGGCGAAGGCGGCUAUCUGGACGGUUUCUGACGCUAAGACGCGAAAGCGUGGGGAGCAAACAGG